GUGCCCUCUCAAGGCUGACUCGGUGCUUGCAGAGGCCAACACAGAAGGGUAGAGGACAGGCUCCAUAAAACCCAGCGAGGGGACGGACCGACUCCUCCCUGGAUCCUGUCUGGAGCCACAGCC